UUUGUAGGAAAAUAAGGAUCUAGGGGCAGACAAUGGUUUGAUUGGUCAAUUUGGUGUUGGAUUCUAUUCUGCUUUUCUUGUUGCGGAGAAGGUAUCGGGCUGUUGUGUCCACAAAGAGCCCAAAGUCAGAGGAGCAAUAUGUUUGGGGAGCUGUUGCUGACAGUAGCUCCUAUGUGAUCAGGGAGGAAACGGAUCAGAAAAGCUUCUACCCCGUGGUACACAGAUUACACUAAUAUUUAAAGUCAGAUGACAAGU